rnacentral:rRNA from 1 species
AGAGUUUGAUCCUGGCUCAGGACGAACGCUGGCGGCGUGCCUAAUACAUGCAAGUAGAACGCUGAAGAGAGGAGCUUGCUCUUCUUGGAUGAGUUGCGAACGGGUGAGUAACGCGUAGGUAACCUGCCUUGUAGCGGGGGAUAACUAUUGGAAACGAUAGCUAAUACCGCAUAACAAUGGAUGACACAUGUCAUUUAUUUGAAAGGGGCAAUUGCUCCACUACAAGAUGGACCUGCGUUGUAUUAGCUAGUAGGUGAGGUAAUGGCUCACCUAGGCGACGAUACAUAGCCGACCUGAGAGGGUGAUCGGCCACACUGGGACUGAGACACGGCCCAGACUCCUACGGGAGGCAGCAGUAGGGAAUCUUCGGCAAUGGGGGCAACCCUGACCGAGCAACGCCGCGUGAGUGAAGAAGGUUUUCGGAUCGUAAAGCUCUGUUGUAAGUCAAGAACGGGUGUGAGAGUGGAAAGUUCACACUGUGACGGUAGCUUACCAGAAAGGGACGGCUAACUACGUGCCAGCAGCCGCGGUAAUACGUAGGUCCCGAGCGUUGUCCGGAUUUAUUGGGCGUAAAGCGAGCGCAGGCGGUUUGAUAAGUCUGAAGUUAAAGGCUGUGGCUCAACCAUAGUUCGCUUUGGAAACUGUCAAACUUGAGUGCAGAAGGGGAGAGUGGAAUUCCAUGUGUAGCGGUGAAAUGCGUAGAUAUAUGGAGGAACACCGGUGGCGAAAGCGGCUCUCUGGUCUGUAACUGACGCUGAGGCUCGAAAGCGUGGGGAGCGAACAGGAUUAGAUACCCUGGUAGUCCACGCCGUAAACGAUGAGUGCUAGGUGUUGGCCAGAGAUGGUCGGUGCCGCAGCAAACGCAAUAAGCACUCCACCUGGGGAGUACGACCGCAAGGUUGAAACUCAAAGGAAUUGACGGGGGCCCGCACAAGCGGUGGAGCAUGUGGUUUAAUUCGAAGCAACGCGAAGAACCUUACCAGGUCUUGACAUCGAUCUAAAGGCUCCAGAGAUGGAGAGAUAGCUAUAGAGAAGACAGGUGGUGCAUGGUUGUCGUCAGCUCGUGUCGUGAGAUGUUGGGUUAAGUCCCGCAACGAGCGCAACCCCUAUUGUUAGUUGCCAUCAUUCAGUUGGGCACUCUAGCGAGACUGCCGGUAAUAAACCGGAGGAAGGUGGGGAUGACGUCAAAUCAUCAUGCCCCUUAUGACCUGGGCUACACACGUGCUACAAUGGUUGGUACAACGAGUUGCGAGUCGGUGACGGCGAGCUAAUCUCUUAAAGCCAAUCUCAGUUCGGAUUGUAGGCUGCAACUCGCCUACAUGAAGUCGGAAUCGCUAGUAAUCGCGGAUCAGCAUGCCGCGGUGAAUACGUUC